rnacentral:miRNA from 1 species
UUACUGCACUCUAGGCUCCCACC